rnacentral:rRNA from 1 species
UCUACGGGAGGCAGCAGUGAGGAAUAUUGGUCAAUGGGCGGAAGCCUGAACCAGCCAAGCCGCGUGAGGGAAGAAGGUACAGCGUAUCGUAAACCUCUUUUGUCAGGGAACAAAGGCGGGGACUAGUCCCCGGAUGAGGGUACCUGAAGAAAAAGCAUCGGCUAACUCCGUGCCAGCAGCCGCGGUAAUACGGAGGAUGCGAGCGUUAUCCGGAUUUAUUGGGUUAAAAGGGUGGGUAGGCGGAAUAUCAAGUCAGCGGUAAAAAUUCGGGGCUCAACCCCGUCGUGCCGUUGAAACUGAUGUUCUUGAGUGGGCGAGAAGUAUGCGGAAUGCGUGGGGUAGCGGUGAAAUGCAUAGAUAUCACGCAGAACUCCGAUUGCGAAGGCAGCAUACCGGCGCCCAACUGACGCUGAAGCACGAAAGCGUGGGUAUCGAACAGGAUUAGAUACCCGAGUAGUC